rnacentral:rRNA from 1 species
CCUACGGGCGGCAGCAGUGAGGAAUAUUGGUCAAUGGACGAGAGUCUGAACCAGCCAAGUAGCGUGAAGGAUGACUGCCCUAUGGGUUGUAAACUUCUUUUAUAUGGGAAUAAAAUGUUCCACGUGUGGGUUUUUGUAUGUACCAUAUGAAUAAGGAUCGGCUAACUCCGUGCCAGCAGCCGCGGUAAUACGGUGGAUCCGAGCGUUAUCCGGAUUUAUUGGGUUUAAAGGGAGCGUAGGUGGGUUGUUAAGUCAGUUGUGAAAGUUUGCGGCUCAACCGUAAAAUUGCAGUUGAAACUGGCAGUCUUGAGUACAGUAGAGGUGGGCGGAAUUCGUGGUGUAGCGGUGAAAUGCUUAGAUAUCACGAAGAACCCCGAUUGCGAAGGCAGCUCACUGGACUGCAACUGACACUGAGGCUCGAAAGUGUGGGUAUCAAACAGGAUUAGAUACCCGAGUAGUC